rnacentral:rRNA from 1 species
AGGGUUUGAUCCUGGCUCAGAAUGAACGUUGGCGGCGUGGAUUAGGCAUGCAAGUCGUGCGAGAAGUGUUUUUUGCUUGCAUUGAACACGGACAGCGGCGAAAGGGAGAGUAACGUGUGGUUACAUGCCCAGGGGUCCAGGAUAGCGUCGGGAAACUGGCGGUAAUACUGGAUGAUAUCUAAGGAUCAAAGGUGUGAUUCCGCCCUUGGAUUGGACCGCAUACUAUUAGCUUGUUGGUGAGGUAAUGGCUCACCAAGGCUGCGAUGGUUACCGGGUGUGAGAGCAUGGCCCGGCUCACUGGGACUGAGACACUGCCCAGACACCUACGGGUGGCUGCAGUCGAGAAUCUUCGGCAAUGGACGAAAGUCUGACCGAGCGACGCCGCGUGCGGGAUGAAGGCCCUCGGGUUGUAAACCGCUGUCAGUUUGGAGGAAAGGUCUGUGAAGAGCAGAUCUUGACCGAUAUUCAGAGGAAGGACGGGCUAAGUUCGUGCCAGCAGCCGCGGUAAGACGAACCGUCCAAACGUUAUUCGGUAUCACUGGGCUUAAAGCGUGCGUAGGCGGCUUGGUAGGUGUGAUGUGAAAGCCCACGGCUCAACCGUGGAAUUGCGUCGCAAACCCUCAAGCUUGAGGAAGACAGGGGUGUUGGGAACUUAUGGUGGAGCGGUGAAAUGCGUUGAUAUCAUAGGGAACACCGGUGGCGAAGGCGCAACACUGGGUCUUUUCUGACGCUGAGGCACGAAAGCUAGGGUAGCGAACGGGAUUAGAUACCCCGGUAGUCCUAGCCGUAAACGAUGAGCACUAGUUGGGAGGCGCCCUGGGCAUUUCCCAACGUAGCAAAAGUGUUAAGUGCUCCGCCUGGGGAGUAUGGUCGCAAGGCUGA